UUGACUUUGGCUAGAAUCUGGAACUUAAAAAGUUGCAAGUGUCCCAUUAUCAAAGUUGAUGUGAAAAUUUCAGAAUUCAGUUAAAAUAAUAUAGAUUGCUAAGAAUCUGAGAGGUUUGCUUUAUUGCUUCCAUUCUUUCAAAAAUUUCAUUUAAAUCCUUUACUUUGUCUGCCUAACAUAUUUACUUGUCUCAUAGUUUGCAUUUUGCCUCAAGAGGAAGGACCUCAUUGUAGGGCUGUUUUUUCUCUUCCUAAUUCCCCAAUUCGUGCGCUACAGUUUGCAAAUUCUGGAGCCAAACUUGCUGUUGGUUUUGAAUGUGGUAGGGUGGCAGUACUUGACAUGAGUUCAUUAUCAGUUCUCUUCUUCACAGACUUUGUAUCGAGCUCCAGUUCUCCUGUUAUUUCAGUGACCUGGACAAAUUAUGAAAAUAUUGGUAGCCUUGUAAAAAGUCCAAAGG
rnacentral:misc_RNA from 1 species